UACGUAGGGUGCGAGCGUUAAUCGGAAUUACUGGGCGUAAAGCGUGCGCAGGCGGUUUUGCAAGCCGGUUGUGAAAUCCCCGGGCUCAACCUGGGAAUGGCAUUUGGGACUGCAAGGCUCGAGUGCGGCAGAGGAGACUGGAAUUCCUGGUGUAGCAGUGAAAUGCGUAGAUAUCAGGAGGAAUACCGAUGGCGAAGGCAGGUCUCUGGGCUGACACUGACGCUCAUGCACGAAAGCGUGGGGAGCAAACAGG
rnacentral:rRNA from 1 species